AGAGUUUGAUCAUGGCUCAGAAUCAACGCUGGCGGCGCGCUUAACACAUGCAAGUCGAACGAGAAAGGGGAGCAAUCCCCGAGUAAAGUGGCGUACGGGUGAGUAACACGUGGGUAAUCUGCCUCUGGGUGGGGAAUAACUCUGGGAAACCGGAGCUAAUACCGCAUAAGACCGGAAGGUGAAAGGAGCAAUUCGCCGAGAGAGGAGCCCGCGGCUGAUUAGCUGGAUGGUGGGGUAAAGGCCUACCAUGGCAAUGAUCAGUAGCCGGCCUGAGAGGGCACACGGCCACACUGGCACUGAAACACGGGCCAGACUCCUACGGGAGGCAGCAGUGGGGAAUCUUGCACAAUGGGGGAAACCCUGAUGCAGCGACGCCGCGUGAGCGAUGAAGCCCUUCGGGGUGUAAAGCUCUUUCGGCAGGGACGAUGAUGACGGUACCUGAAGAAGAAGCUGCGGCUAACUACGUGCCAGCAGCCGCGGUAAUACGUAGGCAGCGAGCGUUGUUCGGAGUUACUGGGCGUAAAAGCGUGCGUAGGCGGUGGUCCAAGUCUGGUGUGAAAUCUCCCGGCUCAACCGGGAGGGUGCGCCGGAAACUGGGCUGCU
rnacentral:rRNA from 1 species